ACGGAACAAGAAAGCAAAAUGACAAAAAAUGUAGUAUAUAGGGAAAUAUUUGAAACUUUGUAAUAUCAAAAAACAUAAAAAUAUUAUAAAAUACUAACAAAAAACACAAAAAAAUAACUCCAGGUUUGUGAUUGUUUCUGUUAAUUAUAUUUUAUUAUUUCCUUUAAUGAAAGCAUGUGUUUUUCAAUUAAAUGUAUUUUUCCAUUACUAUAUGAAUCUAUUGACAUAUGUUAAUUAUGCAGGGGUACACAAGAUGGAACCUACAAAAUACUAUGUUUCUGAUCUGGAUGCAUCAAGGAAAAAAUGGAAGAUAAUAGCUCGACUUACUCGCCUAUGGGAAGUACGAUACGAUUCUAAGAAUGUUGAACCAGAUACUCUCGAUAUGAUACUCCUUGAUGAGCAGGACAACCAUAUCCAAGCAGCCGUGCCUAAAAAUCUAAUUACUCAUUUCAAGGACAGGCUACAUGAAUGGAGAAUUUUUACUUUCAAACAUUUCAAUGUUACAAAAACUAAGCGCAAAUUAAAGCCUGUUUCAAAUGAAUACAUGAUAUGGUUCACUUCAUUCACUUCUAUAACACCGGAAGAGGAGAACAUUGCUCAAAUCGCAAUACACAAGUUUGAAAUAAAACCUUUGGAGCACUUGCAAGAGCGAAGCGGUAGAAAUGACAUAGUUACAGAUGUUAUUGGACUUCUGACUGGUGUAGAGAAUACGGUGACGGAUGGAGAAUGAAAUGUACGAAAGAAAUUGUACAUUCAAGAUCAAAGGAAACAACAAGUCACAGUCACUCUUUGGAACGAAGUAGCAAAUUCAUUCAUACAGGAAAACAUGUUGCUGACUGGAAUUGAAGCAAACAUAUUGGUUAUAACAGGAACCCGUGUCACUCAAUACUUAGGAAACUACCAGUUGGGAUCUUCAAGUGGAACAAAAAUUUACAGGAACUUUAAUAUUGCAGAAGUCGUGGAAUUCAAAAAGGCUGUAGGUGAAUUUAUUCCUGAAGUUACACAAUUUGAAAUACCACAACGAGAAAGCAAAAUGGAAAUAAUGAGCAAAAAUCGCAAAACCAUAGAAGAACUACAACAGCUUUAUUUGGAACAAGAAGAUAACCAGGACAUACAAAUGACAUACACUUGAAAGGCAUGCACAAAUCGAAAUGCUUCAUGUGAGAGAUUUUGGAUGGAAAUAUGAGUCAUGUCGAGUUUGCAAGACAAAGCUUGAUGAACACCAUAUGUGCAAAAAGUGUGGAGUCAUAGAUGAAUUCCCAACUCAAAGGUAUCGAAUAGUGAUAACAGUCAAAGAAGGAGAUGCGUAUAUGAGGAUCGGAAUGUUUGAUAGAACUGUGGAAAAAAUUGUACAAAUGCCAAUAUCAGCAAUGAUCAAAAUAAGCACACAGCAAUAUGGAGAUGAAAAAGUUCAUGAAAGAUUUGAAAAUUGCAUUGGAAACUCAUUUGUUUUUAAAGUACAAGUAAACAAAAGAGGAUUCACACAAGAGCUCACUGCUAUAAAGGUAUUCACCCUAGAUGAAGAGAAGGAAGAUAAUCAAACUCAGUCCACAGACCUUACACAAACCUUGGUGCAAAUGGCAACAAACAAGCGGAGCGCAACUGAAAUAGAAGCCACUACAUCAAUAUCAACACGCUAAGGACUUAAAAAGAUUAAACAAGAAAAAUUAAAGGGAAAAGAAUAAGGCUCCUGGGUGUGGAAUGGAGGACAUCAACAACACAAGGAUAAAAUGUUUUCGUGUCUUAUAUUAGGUGUUGUAAACAUAUUGGACAUAUUGCUUCUUAGAUAGUAAAUAUCCUGUUUGAUUUUAUCUAUAAUUUGGUAGAACUUCCAAAAAAUGUAAUUCUAAAACUUAUUUAGCUAUUGUACAAAGGAUUUACCUUCCAUGUAAGUAUUAGACAAAAUAAAGACUCCUGUAAGUUAUACAAUUUAUUAUGCAAUAAAAUAAAAAUAUA